UACAGAGGUCUCAAGCGUUGUUCGGAUUCAUUGGGCGUAAAGGGUGUGUAGGUGGCGCGCUAAGUCGGGUGUGAAAUUUCGGAGCUUAACUCCGAAACUGCAUUCGAUACUGGCGUGCUUGAGGACUGGAGAGGAGUACUGGAAUUCAUGGUGUAGCAGUGAAAUGCGUAGAGAUCAUGAGGAAGACCAGUGGCGAAGGCGGGUCUCUGGACAGUUCCUGACACUGAGACACGAAGGCCAGGGGAGCAAACGGG
rnacentral:rRNA from 1 species